rfam:Candidatus Woesebacteria bacterium RIFCSPLOWO2_01_FTLL_39_21 rifcsplowo2_01_scaffold_361, whole genome shotgun sequence.
GGCCCCAUCGUCUAACGGCUCAGGACAUCAGGUUCUCAUCCUGAAAAUCCGGGUUCGAAUCCCAGUGGGGUCA